rnacentral:rRNA from 1 species
GAAGAACGCAGCGAAAUGCGAUAAGUAAUGUGAAUUGCAGAAUUCAGUGAAUCAUCGAAUCUUUGAACGCACCUUGCGCUCCUUGGUAUUCCGAGGAGCAUGCCUGUUUGAGUGUCAUGAAACCCUCAAACCCAAGUUUUGGAUUUCGAUCCAUGC